GGGGUAACGGCCUACCAAGUCUACGAUCAGUAGCCGGACUGAGAGGUUGAACGGCCACAUUGGGACUGAGAUACGGCCCAGACUCCUACGGGAGGCAGCAGUGGGGAAUAUUGCACAAUGGGGGAAACCCUGAUGCAGCAACGCCGCGUGAAGGAUGACGGUUUUCGGAUUGUAAACUUCUUUUCUUAGUGACGAAGACAGUGACGGUAGCUAAGGAAUAAGCAUCGGCUAACUACGUGCCAGCAGCCGCGGUAAUACGUAGGAUGCAAGCGUUAUCCGGAUUUACUGGGUGUAAAGGGAGCGCAGGCGGGACUGCAAGUUGGAUGUGAAAUACCGUGGCUUAACCACGGAACUGCAUCCAAAACUGUAGUUCUUGAGUGAAGUAGAGGCAAGCGGAAUUCCGAGUGUAGCGGUGAAAUGCGUAGAUAUUCGGAGGAACACCAGUGGCGAAGGCGGCUUGCUGGGCUUUAACUGACGCUGAGGCUCGAAAGUGUGGGGAGCAAACAGGAUUAGAUACCCUGGUAGUCCACACUGUAAACGAUGAUAGCUAGGUGUGGGGGGUCUGACCCCUUCCGUGCCGGAGUUAAAGCAAUAAGCUAUCCACCUGGGGAGUACGACCGC
rnacentral:rRNA from 1 species